GCCGGGUGCGGUGGCGCACACCUGUAAUCCCAGCACUUUGGGAGGCUGAGGCAGGUGGAUCACUUGAGGUCAGGAGUUCGAGACCAGCCUGGCCAACAUAGUGAAACCCCGUCUCUA
rnacentral:SRP_RNA from 1 species